UAGCCUUCCUGUUAAGAAAACAAAAGAACAUGUGAGAUCACGGAGCUGCAGACUGCACCUUGGAGAUCACUGAAUCUUCUCUUCUCUUGGCCAGAGGAGGGGAUAGAAGAAAGCAGACAUGCCUGAGGCCACACAGCUGGCUGUCAUAGAAGUUACUUGGACAACACCACCCACCCCUGGGGGGUGGGGUGGUGGGAACUUGCUUGGUGAUGGCAACAAACAAACAAACACUUUCCCCUUCCCACUUCUCUUCCGGUAUUCCAGACAGGAGGAAUAAUGUACUGAUCUGCUGACAUUAAGAAGGACCCUAUUUUCAGAUUACUUCUUCAAAGGAGCAGCAUCUACAUUGGCAAGGACCGCCGUGAGGAUCCAAGUGCACAGUGAGGUGGGGGGAGGCAGAUACAUGGAUUCCUUUCCACGUGGCCCACAAGAAACACCUGUCCCUCCAGACUCGGGGACCACCAGGGACCUUGAAUAGUUGCCUUGGCAACUCAUUGCCUGGCUAACUCCCACUCCUUUGGGUUUCAGCUUAAACAUCAGUUGUGCAAGAUCUUCUGGACCCCUAAGUUGGGUCCUCCUCUUGUAAGCAUUCAUAGCAUUCUCUACAUACCCUUUACAGCACUUUUAUGAGUUGAAUAGCAUGGUUAUUGGUGUGCUUAUUUGUUUCACACCUGUCUUUUGCACUAAAUUCUAAGCUCUCUGAGGAAAAGGAAUAUGUUUCUGUUGCGUACCAUCUUAUCACCACGUAGCAGUGGGUGCUCCAUAAGAUCCUCCUGCGUGAGUAAGUGAAUUCCCUGCCUCAUCCCUCUCUCAUGCCUUAGCAUGAGGCCUGAGGCCAAGAGCCCGUCCAUCACAUACCCCUUGCCCAAAGCCUCCUUAUAACGGUCAGGAGAAGGGUGGCAUCUCCUCCUCUCCCUUCUAACUCAAGGAACAAAUCACUGGCUACAUGAUAGUUGCCCUUCCUCCCAUCCUUCCAGCAUAGUAGCCCCUGCCCAGGAUCCAAAAGGCAGAAGGUGAGUAAUUGCUAUUUUUAUUUAUCUUUGCACAAGGCUGCCCUCUGGUGGUCGAACAUGUAGGAGCGAAUGGGAAGGAUGGAAACCCCAGUAGCCAGGAACCAGCCCAGCUGGCUGAGCCAACCACGCUCAAGAGACUGGCCAGCGAGCCAGGGAGUAGGUAAGUGCUACAAGAAGCGCAUCUGGGUGAAGAUUCGUGUCAGUUCUCCAUCCUUAUGAAUGGCUCCCUCCAAAUCUAACAGGAGGCCCUGGCCUCAGAAGAGCAGGAAAUGAAGGAAUGCCCUAUAGAAAUCUUACCUACCUCAGCCCCAGUAGGAUGGUGUGCAGGUAGGGGGAGCUGGUUUAAGUAGCUAUUCUUUCUCCUCAGUGGUAUGCAGGCAAACAUUUUACAGUCAGCUCUCAAAAAAGGAAAUCCCAAUUUGUAGUGUUUACCAAUUUCUGUAGUGUAAAUACCCCUACCAUGGCCCAUUUUAAACCACCGAUAUGAUGUCACUGAAUGAGGAGCUGGAAGAGAUGCCCAGUAGCACACCAUUAUCUAGAGUUUCCCCCAUACAGACACCAUGGACAGAAAUAACUUCAAGGGCACGAUUAAUAGUGAAAUAUAGUAAACUAAUUGAAAAUGAUGAUUUUU
rnacentral:lncRNA from 1 species